rnacentral:rRNA from 1 species
AUUGAACGCUGGCGGCAGGCCUAAUACAUGCACGUCGAGCGAGCGGCGGACGGGUGCGUAAGGUAUGGGGACUGACCGAAAGCGGGGGAUCACUACUGGAAACGGUAGCUAAUAACGCAUACAAUCGGCUAACACAUACGGGAUUAGCUAGUAGGUGAGGUAAUGGCUCAACUAGGCGACGAUCCCUAGCUGGUCUGCACGGAUGAUCCGCCACACUGGGACUGAGACACGGCCCAGACUCCUACGGAGGCAGCAGUGGGGAAUAUUGCACAAUGGGCGCAAGCCUGAUGCAGCCAUGCCGCGUGUAUGAAGAAGGCCCUAGGGUUGUAAAGUACUUUCAGUCGGGAGGCGUUACCGACAGAAGAAGCACCGGCUAACUCCGUGCCAGCCGCCGCGGUAAUUC